rnacentral:rRNA from 1 species
UGGGGAAUUUUGGACAAUGGGCGCAAGCCUGAUCCAGCCAUGCCGCGUGCGGGAAGAAGGCCUUCGGGUUGUAAACCGCUUUUGUCAGGGAAGAAACGCUCUGGGCUAAUACCCCGGGGUAAUGACGGUACCUGAAGAAUAAGCACCGGCUAACUACGUGCCAGCAGCCGCGGUAAUACGUAGGGUGCAAGCGUUAAUCGGAAUUACUGGGCGUAAAGCGUGCGCAGGCGGUUAUGCAAGACAGAUGUGAAAUCCCCGGGCUUAACCUGGGAACUGCAUUUGUGACUGCAUGGCUAGAGUGCGGCAGAGGGGGAUGGAAUUCCGCGUGUAGCAGUGAAAUGCGUAGAUAUGCGGAGGAACACCGAUGGCGAAGGCAAUCCCCUGGGCCUGCACUGACGCUCAUGCACGAAAGCGUGGGGAGCAAACAGG